GGCCUGGUGGUCUAGUAGUAUGAUUCCUUCUUAGGGUGCUUUAACUUGGUUUGGAGGAGGUCCCGGGUUCAAUUCCCGGCCAGGCCC